AUGUCUUUGAAGAGCAUCGUGCGGGAGCUCAAGGAGAUGAGGGACGGCAUCGGGAGCAUGUCCAGGCGCGGCGGCGUCUCCGACGGGCGCGCCGGCCACGGCCGCGGGGGGUCGCGGCAUUCUUGGCCAAGCCUGUGGCCGGAGCCGCAGCCGCAGCGGCCGGGCCAGGAGCCGCAGCAGCAGGGGCAGUGGGCGAACCUGCCGCCGGAGCUGCUGAUCGACGUGAUACAGAGGGUGGAGGCCAGCGAGGUGGCCUGGCCGGCGCGGCGCCAUGUCGUUGCCUGCGCCGCCGUCUGCCGGUCGUGGCGCGAGGUCACCAAGGAUGUGGUGAAGACCCUCGAGGAGUGCAGCAGGAUCACCUUCCCCAUCUCCCUAAAGCAGCCGGGGCCUCGUGAUUGUCCGGUGCAGUGCUUUGUGAGGAGGGACAGGGCGACGUCCACCUAUCUCCUCUACUUGGGGCUCAGCCCAUCUCUGCAUGGGGAAAACGACAAGCUUUUGCUUGCGGCCCGCAAGAUCAGACGUGCAGCCAGAACUUCUUUUGUGAUAUCGCUCAUCUCUGAUGAUUUUUCUCAUUCAAGCAGCACCUAUGUUGGCAAACUGAAACCAAACUUCCUUGGCACAAAGUUCACAAUAUUUGAUAGCCAACCUCCUUGUGAUGCUGCGGUGUUGCCUAACAACAAGCCAAGCAAAAGGCACUCGAAGCAAGUAUCACCAAGACUGCCACUAGGUAAUUACAAUGUUGCUACCGUCUCAUAUGAGCUCACUGUCCUGCGCAACCGAGGACCAAGGAGAAUGCAGUGCACCAUGCACUCAAUACCAGCCGUGUGCAUCCAGGAGGGCGGGAAGGCCCCAACCCCUACUGGCAUGGUCCACUCACUCGACGAACAAGUGUCCACCCUAUCAACUAGUAGCAAAGGAAAGGAACCAAACAUCGAAUUCUUGUCAACAAGCCUCAGCGCUGAUUUAUCCGGACCGAUCUCGACCAGCGAAGCGCCUCUGCUUCUGAAGAAUAAAGCUCCCCGCUGGCACGAGCAGCUGCAGUGCUGGUGCCUCAACUUCCGAGGGCGUGUCACCGUAGCAUCGGUCAAGAACUUCCAGCUCGUCGCCUCGGUUGACCCCUCCUUGGGCGUCCCCGCUGCGGAGCAGGAAAAGGUGAUCCUCCAGUUCGGGAAGAUCGGGAAAGACAUAUUCACAAUGGAUUAUAGAUACCCGCUGUCGGCGUUCCAGGCCUUUGCGAUCUGCCUGACUAGCUUCGACACGAAACCGGCCUGCGAAUAG
rnacentral:rRNA from 1 species